rnacentral:rRNA from 1 species
UACGUAGGGGGCAAGCGUUGUCCGGAAUUACUGGGCGUAAAGCGCACGUAGGCGGAUUGUUUAGUCAGGGGUGAAAUCCCGAGGCUCAACCUCGGAACUGCCUUUGAUACUGGCAAUCUCGAGUCCGGAAGAGGUGAGUGGAAUUCCUAGUGUAGAGGUGAAAUUCGUAGAUAUUAGGAAGAACACCAGUGGCGAAGGCGACUCUCUGGCCUAAGACUGACGCUGAGGCGCGACGGCGUGGGGAGCGAACAGG